UUUUGAAUGGAUUUUUUUGUUUUGGCAAGAGCAUGAGAGCUUUUACUGGGCAAGAAGACAAGAGAUGGAGAGUCCAGCCGGGCCUGCGCUUAAGUGCGCGGUCGUGCUAGGCUUGUAAGUUUCUUUCUUGCUAUUCCAAACGGUGAGAGAUUUCUGUGCUUUUGUUAUAGGACAAUUAAAACCGUUUCAAUACAACACACUGUGGAGUUUUCAUAUCUUUGCAACUUUUUCUUUGGGCAUUCGAGCAAUCGGGGCCCAGAGGUAACAAACACAAACAAUUUUAUCUAUUCAUUAAAUUUUUGUCAAAAACAAAAAUUUUCGUAACUGGAAAUUUUAAAAUAUUAAAAACUUUCAACAACGGAUCUCUUGGUUCUCGCAUCGAUGAAAAACGCAGCGAAAUGCGAUACGUAAUGUGAAUUGCAGAAUUCCGUGAAUCAUCGAAUCUUUGAACGCACAUUGCGCCCCUUGGUAUUCCAGGGGGCAUGCCUGUUUGAGCGUCAUUUCCUUCUCAAACAUUCUGUUUGGUAGUGAGUGAUACUCUUUGGAGUUAACUUGAAAUUGCUGGCCUUUUCAUUGGAUGUUUUUUUUCCAAAGAGAGGUUUCUCUGCGUGCUUGAGGUAUAAUGCAAGUACGGUCGUUUUAGGUUUUACCAACUGCGGCUAAUCUUUUUUAUACUGAGCGUAUUGGAACGGUAUCGAUAAGAAGAGAGCGUCUAAGCGAACAAUGUUCUUAAAGUUUGACCUCAAAUCAGGUAGGAGUACCCGCUGAACUUAAGCAUAUCAAUAAGCGGAGGAAAAG
rnacentral:rRNA from 1 species